rnacentral:lncRNA from 12 species
ACCUUCAGCUGGACACCCGUUGAGAUAACACAGGCAAGCAGAGCCGUCAAGUAUGAGCUGAAACAUAAACCAUAGAAGACAUCACACCCCGAGUCCUGGCGAUCGUCGUGCUGUGGGGAACAGGCCUCAGGGAUGACCCCAAAUCUCUCUGCACGGCGAUGUUUACAGGAUACGGUUUACAAGCUGGAAUUGACCCAGACACCGGCCCUCCACGAGAUCCCGGCAUCCACAGCAUCCCCGCGCCUCGUCUUCUACAGCCAAGUUCAAAACCCAACAGAUCCGUGUGCCUCCCGCUCUGUUUCUGCAGCUGCCCCCAACCCCGUCACGCAAAGACACAAGCUGACGGCUGGAGCCCGCGUGGGAGGAGGGCUCCUCCAAGGACGCCGCUUGUUGGAUGGGAAGCCCACGUGGACGAGCGGAGAGGGGCACGUCCUGAGGCCCCGCACGGCCCCUUUCCGAAGUGAAGUCACAUGGAUGAACUCCAGGGAUUAG